CCGUCGGUAGUCAGGGCGCCACAACUCUUAAAUUAAUCCGAUUUUGAAAUGACAUUUUAAUUGAAACCUUCCGCUCCGUUUCCAUCAACGAAACGGAAACUGGUUGGUUUGAAGUUGAGAGACAAGCGUGGACCGUCCUUAUCUAUGAGUUUACCGAUACCUUAUACUCUAUUUAUUGUCUGUCUGUAUUUGUGACAAACCCUUAACUGUGGGACUCACUGAGAGUGGUAUUCUGCCGGAGGUUAUUGGUGCGUCCAUCCCAUGGGAAUACUUAAAAUUUAUGUAGCAAG